AUUGAACGCUGGCGGCAUGCUUUACACAUGCAAGUCGAACGGUAACAGGGUGCUUGCACCGCUGACGAGUGGCGAACGGGUGAGUAAUGCGUCGGAACGCACCGAGUAAUGGGGGAUAACGCAGCGAAAGCUGUGCUAAUACCGCAUACGCUCUGAGGAGGAAAGCGGGGGACCUUCGGGCCUCGCGUUAUUCGAGCGGCCGACGUCUGAUUAGCUAGUAGGUGAGGUAAGAGCUCACCUAGGCGACGAUCAGUAGCGGGUCUGAGAGGAUGAUCCGCCACACUGGGACUGAGACACGGCCCUGACUCCUACGGGAGGCAGCAGUGGGGAAUUUUGGACAAUGAGCGCAAGCCUGAUCCAGCCAUGCCGCGUGUCUGAAGAAGGCCUUCGGGUUGUAAAGGACUUUUGUCAGGGAGGAAAUCCUUAGCGCUAAUACCGUUGAGGGAUGACAGUACCUGAAGAAUAAGCACCGGCUAACUACGUGCCAGCAGCCGCGGUAA
rnacentral:rRNA from 1 species